UUUCAGCUUCAGUUUCAUUUUCACAAAGUUUGGUGGAGCAAGACCGGGAGGAAACAGAGCGUUUUCACAUUUGAACGUCAUACUGAGGCUACGGAAACACAUACUACUAUAGGAAACGCUUCACAGAGUGAAAAAAGCUGAAUAUGUCCCCUUUAAACAUCCAGGUUCAUUAAUUCAGACCCCAGCAGGAACUGAAGAGUCACAUCAGUCCAUCUACUGAAAGAGGGAUUUCUGCCUGUUUUGACUGUUUUCGUGGAUUUUAUCAGCCCAGCUGAAGACGGUCGAGCCAUCGGCAGAGCAGCAGCACCAACCGUCCUCCUUCCUCCAGGACUUCUGGGCCAGAACACAGUGACCCCGUCAGCCACUGAUGCCCAGGAUUUAAAGUCCAGCUGUUCUGGAUGUGUUGCUGACAGUCCAUCAGAGAGAAGCAGACCUCACAGCUGCUGGAAGCUGCUUCACUCCGCCUCAGCUUCCCCACUGGUCUGGCGCUGGACGCCCCCUGCUGGUACAAACGGGGAAUGGCAGAGACAGUCUGAACACGAGACUCAACAAACCAUCAGAACAGGAACUUAUUCCUGUUUAGUUUGGAGGCUGUGAGUUUCCAGCUGGGGGGUCAGUC
rnacentral:lncRNA from 1 species